GUUUUGAACGGGGAACGAUGGCUCUGGUGGCUCUGGCCUCUGAGGUCUGAGCUUGAUGAUAAUCAUUCAUCAAUAACGGCAUAAGCCAAGAAAUUCGAGAGAGUGGGGCAAUUUGGUUGGAUUUUUAUGUAAAUUGGGAUUGGGGUUUCCUCCUUAAUUAGAAUGAAGAAGAUAAGGAUGAUGACGAUUAUGAGCAGCAUAGAGCGAAGAAUGGCAGCGGCGUGGCACAAGAAGUACGUGAUAAGAAGAGCUAUAAGCACCCAAAUUCUAAUGUCUCCUCAAUCUCUCGUUUCUCUUGACCUACCUGAGAUUUGGACUGCAGCCGCAGAUAAUCUUCGCCCUCCUACUUCCCUAAACUGCUCCAAUGAGCAGGAUGCUGUUGUAAUAGACGGGAAGUUAAUUGCAGAGGACAUUAGGUCUACAAUAGCUACUGAAGUAAGGAGGAUGAAGGAAUCAAUUGGAAAAGUUCCUGGCUUGGCCGUUAUUCUGGUGGGCCAGAGAAGGGACUCCCAAACUUAUGUUCGCAACAAGAUAAAAGCUUGUGAAGAGGCUGGAAUCAAGUCUCUUUUUCACGAACUGCCUGAGGAUUGCCCAGAAGAUGCAGUUCUUAGUGUUGUAUCUAGUUUUAAUGAAGACCCAACUAUUCAUGGUAUUCUUGUGCAGCUUCCCCUACCCCAAGUAAUUUCCAUAACCAUGAUAUAAAUCUUAUAGUCAUUGCUAUAGGUGACCUGAAUGGAAAAUAUAUGAAUGUCUUGAUGUUUACGGACUUCUUAUAUAUAAUCAUCCAAAUUUGUGGUUUGCAUAUCUGGAAUUGAAAUCAAAACAAUUUUAAGUGCUAUUACUUCCAACAUCUUGACUGUUCAUAGUUUUAUUCUUGACUUCCAUGUAUUUGACCAGUAAUUACUUUGUUUGAACUUGUUUUUGUAUGUCAUUGGACAAAUAAUUACUUUUACUUUAUUGUCAGUAUCUACUAGACAACUUUUUUUUGUAGCGUGGUAAUGUUCUUAGCUGCUUAUAUAUAGCUGUGAAAUAGUUCAGGAUUUGAUGCAAGAGUAUUUGAGAAGUUCAUGUUGUAUGGAUGACUUAAAAAACUUCUCUGGGACAGCAUUUGGAUGAGGUGAAGAUUUUGAAUGCGCUGAGUUUGGAAAAAGAUGUAGAUGGCUUCCAUCCAAUGAAUAUGGGAAAUCUUGCCAUGAGAGGAAGAGAACCAUUGUUUAUCCCUUGCACUCCAAAGGGUUGCAUUGAGUUAUUGUUCAGGUUUGGCGUGGAGAUCAUGGGGAAGAAUGCUGUGGUUAUUGGGAGAAGCAAUGUUGUUGGUUUGCCCACAUCAUUGUUAUUGCAGAGGUACCAUGCAACUGUUAGUGUUGUACAUGCUUUGACAAAUAAUCCAGAGGAGAUAACCAGUGAAGCUGAUAUUGUGGUUACAGCUGCUGGAGUGCCCAAUCUGGUCCGUAGCAAUUGGUUAAAGCCUGGUGCAGUAGUUAUUGAUGUGGGAACUUGCCCAAUUGAGGAUCCCAGCAGUGAAUUUGGUUAUCGUCUUGUGGGAGAUGUUUGCUAUGAAGAAGCAGUGAAGGUGGCAUCUGCCAUCACCCCUGUGCCAGGAGGUGUUGGACCUAUGACAAUUGCUAUGCUGCUGUCCAACACUCUUGAUUCUGCCAAGCGGGCAUAUGAAUUUGUUUGACCAUUGAUACGUUAUAUAAAAUAUUUGGAAACAUAUUUAUGUUUCCAGCAAAUAUAGUUUUUAACAUAUUAUUGCAUUUGAUUUUGUAUUUUGUUGAUUCAGUGGAUACGUGCUCAAUGGUUGGCUGAUACGUGGUUAUGAACAUUUAUCUCACUUGAAUGGCUCCACUUUAGGUUUGGGAGAUUGAAAACUCAUUCUGAAUUCCAGUACCAAGCUACAGAUGUAUCCCCAGCCAUCAAUUGUGCAACUAAUGCAGUGCAGAGUACCCUUUCGGAUGCCCAAGCAAAUUGGAAAAGGGAAAUAAUAAAAGAAAAUUUGCACUAUGCAGUCGUUGCUCUAGAGUCUAUAACUUGUUACAAAUGGUGCUCGCGCAUCCAUUGCAGCAGUAAGAAGAAUGGAUUAUGCUGAUUGCCAGGAUGUUACAGCCAACAAGGAUCCUGUCAUCCUUCCACUUCAUUUGUGGAUUGCAUUGGUUCCACAACUGGAGGUAUACAGUCCACCUUGUAGCGGACGACCUAAUGAAAUGAAGCGAUGUUAGAAGUAUGUUGAUAAUCUUGUAGUUGAUCUAACACGAACCACUCAAACUCCCACUAGUCAUGUAAAGGGUGGGAGAUGGUAAUCUUAAAGAAAGCUGACAUAAACUGUCCAAAUGAAUCCUUCUAUAAGUAUAGUCCUACCUUUUUGAAAAAUGCUGAAUAUGAAUUAUCCCAAAUGAGCUUAUAGUUACCAGCCAUACAUGUGCAGAAGUUUCCCUGUAAAAAUAUGAGGGAAAUUGAUGAGACUUGAAAAGCAUUCACAUUAUAUUCCAAGGCAUAGUAAAACAAAAAUUCCAUACAGUAACUCACUUGGUCAGACUCAUAACGACGGUAAGGUAAUAUUAGCUGAAGAAUCAAAGUUUACAUACAAAAACAAAAUAGAUAAAUUAAUCAAAGGUUACAAACCAAAACUAAAAAUAAAACAAAAGAUCUGGGAAACCAAGAAACUACUCAAUUGGAGCAUAAAAAAUGAAAAUUUUGUGCAAUUGAAAAUCAACUUAGAACGCUAGACACAGUACAUGCUUUCAAGUUUAACUUACAGUCUUUUGCCCAGAAGGAUCCACAUACUCCACACUAAAUCCAACAUCCAAGUUUAUCUUGCCUUGUAUCAACGAGAAAUCCCAAGCUAUGUAUGAGUUUAUUGAGUCCACCACCAAUGAAACCUAUAAAGGAAAUCCAAUUAACAAUGUCAAAUAUUUAAAAACAUGUACAAAAAAUUUCCAAACACCAUUAAUAGCUAAAGAAAUCAAUUUUUGAAAAGAGGCAAAAACAGAUCUGAAAAUUUAAACCUAUUUUAAACAUAUGCUGGACUGAUUCCAGUCUAACCUGAAAGAAUAUUAUACAAAUUUGAAUCUUCCCACUGCUUGGAUUUUACAAGGGACAAAGUCUAGCAGGUAAUUUUGAUAAUCUAUAUUGCCAUAACCAAGAAUGAGAUUUCUAAAUGCUAAUUUGAUUUAAGAAAGCUAUCGUUCUUGAAGAACUCAAGGCAUUUAAUUGUACUAACUGUUUAGUUAUUAGUGCUUAAUUAUAGUUGAAAGGAAAUGUAUCUUCAUUAAAAACCAAAAUCUGUUGAACUGUAGUAGGUAGCUCAUCAAGCAAUUCAUUAUACUUUCUUUUCCUCUUUGAUAUUUACAGAUUCCCUAAUCCACAGCUGUUGGAUUCCUGCAUGCGAUGCAACCAGUGCUACAAAAAUACAUAUUUGGGAUAACUAGCAGAUUAUUUACAAUCUCUUUUCCAUGUUUUCACCAUUGUGCUGCACUUGGAAAAUAAUUUUACCAGCAAACACGUUUGCGUAAAAGCUUCAUGUUCUUCAUGGACAUGCAUGAAAAUACAUCUUCAUUUCUAUCAAGAAGCACAUUUUCAUGAAGUAGAAUUCCAGCGUACAUGCAUAUAACAGGAAUGAAAAUUCUUCUAUAUGGAAAUAUAAAUAUCUGCAAAUAAACUUCUAAACAAACCUCAUAGGUUUUCCCAGCUGGAACACUUAUCUCUUUGAAUUCAUCAUUUU
rnacentral:misc_RNA from 1 species